AAGAAGGGCAGACGGUGGAUGCCUAGGCUCUCGGAGGCGAAGAAGGACGUGAUAAGCUGCGAAAAGCUCGGGGGAGGUGCAAAUAACCUUUGAUCCCGAGAUAUCCGAAUGGGGUAACCCGGCUGGUUGAAGGCCAGUCACACCGUAAGGUGAGCGAACGUGGGGAACUGAAACAUCUAAGUACCCACAGGAAGAGAAAAUAAGAAUGAUUGCGUAAGUAGUGGCGAGCGAACGCGCAAGAGCCCAAACCAUGGUUGUUUCGGCAUCACAUGGGGUUGUAGGACCGCGACGUAGCAAGAAAAGAUGAAAGUGGAACCCGCUGGAAAGAGGGCCAUAGAGGGUGAAAGUCCCGUACACGAAUUCAUUUUGAAGCUUAGCGGUAUCCUGAGUAGGGCGGGACACGUGAAAUCCUGUCUGAAUCUGCGGGGCCCAUCCCGUAAGGCUAAAUACUUCCGAGAGACCGAUAGCGAACCAGUACCGUGAGGGAAAGGUGAAAAGAACCUCGAACAGAGGAGUGAAAUAGACCCUGAACCCGUCUGCCUACAAGCGGUCGGAGCACUGUAUACGUGUGACGGCGUGCCUUUUGCAUAAUGAACCUACGAGUUACUUUUUUUGGCAAGGUUAAGUGUCAUGUAGGCAUGUAGCCGAAGCGAAAGCGAGUCUGAAGAGGGCGGAUAGUCAAAAGGAGUAGACGCGAAACCAAGUGAUCUACCCAUGAUCAGGUUGAAGGUUAGGUAACACUAACUGGAGGACCGAAUGGAUAUACGUUGAAAAGUGUUCCAAUGAAUUGUGGGUAGGGGUGAAAGGCUAAUCAAACUUGGAGAUAGCUCGUACUCCCCGAAAUGCAUUUAGGUGCAGCCUCGGGUGUUUUUGAUGAGAGGUAGAGCGACUGAUUGGAUGCGAGGGCUUCACCGCCUAUCAAGUCCAGACAAACUCCGAAUGCUCAUCAUAUGGAUCCCGGGAGUGAGGGCAUGGGUGCUAAGGUCCAUGUCCGAAAGGAGAAGAAUCCAGACCAUCAGCUAAGGUCCCGAAAUAGCCGCUCAGUUGCAUUUAACGAAGUCAGACCGCAUAGACAGCUAGGAUGUUGGCUUGGAAGCAGCCAUUCAUUUAAAGAGUGCGUAACAGCUCACUAGUCGAGGGGUCUGGCAUGGAUAAUAAUCGGGCAUAAGCGGUUUACCGAAGCUAUGGAUAUCGCAAGAUAUGGUAGGGGAGCAUUCCAUACUCUGCGUUGAAGAUAAGGGGUGACCUUUGUUGGAGCGUAUGGAAAAGCAAAUGUAGGUAUGAGUAACGAUAAAGGAGGUGAAAAACCUCCUCGCCGAAAGACCAAGGAUUCCUGAUCAACGCUAAUCGGAUCAGGGUUAGUCGGGGCCUAAGGAUAAGCCGAAGGGCGAUUCCGAUGGAAGAGCCGGUUAAUAUUCCGGCACUGCUAUAUUGAGCGAUGUGGGGACGGAGAAGUGACAGCACUGCCAACGGAUGGAAUAGUUGGUUGAAGGGUGUAGACGUUGAUUGCGGCAGGCAAAUCCGCCGCGAGAGUCGAACCUGACAGUAUGCAGCGUACUUGUACAAUGUAAUAUGUGCGUAAACAGGCUCCCAAGAAAAUCCGCUAAGCAUAUUGAUAUAGCACUCGUACUGUAAACGGACACACGUGGUCGGGUAGAAAAUACUAAGGCGCUCGAGAGAUUCACGGUUAAGGAACUAGGCAAAAUGGUCCUGUAACUUCGGGAUAAAGGACGCCACUGGCGACAGUGGCCGCAGAGAAUCGGCCCAGGCGACUGUUUAACAAAAACACAUGACUAUGC
rnacentral:rRNA from 1 species